CACGGACCAAGGAGUCUAACAUGUGCGCGAGUCUUUGGGUGGAAAAACCCGUGGGCGCAAUGAAAGUGAAGGCCUCUAACGAGGCUGAGGUGAGAGCUGGUGCUGCGGUGCCAGUGCAUCAUCGACCGGUCCAGCCUUCUCCAAGGCGGAUCCGAGUAAGAGCGUAUUUGUUGGGACCCGAAAGAUGGUGAACUAUGCCUGAAUAGGGUGAAGCCAGAGGAAACUCUGGUGGAGGCUCGUAGCGAUUCUGACGUGCAAAUCGAUCGUCAAAUUUGGGUAUAGGGGCGAAAGACUAAUCGAACCAUCUAGUAGCUGGUUCCCUCCGAAGUUUCCCUCAGGAUAGCUGGAACUCGUAACACAGUUUUAUCAGGUAAAGCGAAUGAUUAGAGGUCUUGGGGGUGAAACACCCUCAACCUAUUCUCAAACUUUAAAUAGGUAAGAAGCGUGACUUGCUUGACUGAAGCCACGCGUUUCAAUGUGAGUUCCAAGUGGGCCAUUUUUGGUAAGCAGAACUGGCGAUGCGGGAUGAACCGAACGCUCGGUUAAGGUGCCUAAGUCGACGCUCAUCAGACCCCAGAAAAGGUGUUGGUUGAUAUAGACAGCAGGACGGUGGCCAUGGAAGUCGGAAUCCGCUAAGGAGUGG
rnacentral:rRNA from 1 species